rnacentral:rRNA from 1 species
UACGAAGGGGGCUAGCGUUGCUCGGAAUCACUGGGCGUAAAGGGUGCGUAGGCGGGUUUUUUAGUCUGGGGUGAAAUCCUGGAGCUCAACUCCAGAACUGCCUUUGAUACUGAGGAUCUUGAGUUCGGGAGAGGUGAGUGGAACUGCGAGUGUAGAGGUGAAAUUCGUAGAUAUUCGCAAGAACACCAGUGGCGAAGGCGGCUCACUGGCCCGAUACUGACGCUGAGGCACGAAAGCGUGGGGAGCAAACAGG